AUUGCAAAAAAUAUUAUACGUAACUCGAUGCACAUUAUGCAAAAUGGGAUAUUAUGCGUAUAACGGCAAUGUUUCACGAGAAUUGGGGCACUGUUUGCUAAUUAAAGGACUCAUCAUUACAUCCAGCGAUUCCUGGAGCAACAUGUUUAUCCAAUGCGAGCGUGAUCAGAAACAUUGACAAAAAAAAUCAAAGUAGAGCCAUACGAUUUAGGGCUAUAUGUUCCAUCAGAGUCAUAGAAGCUUUUGGCAUCAUUAUCGUCCACUUCGCCAUGGUUGCAUCAUAUAGCUCGAAGACACUGUAUGCUCUUCACUAGUAGACAACGAAUGCUAGCCCUGGAAACAAGAAUACACAACCCAGCAUAAUAAAGGUCUACCAAAAGCAAAUUAUUAAACUCAUCGGGCUGGAAAAUUUCGUACGCUCUAGUUGGGAAGCCUGUCCAGUCCCAAAAGAAGCAUUAUCCUGCUAUGGAAGGCGAGGUUAGCGUUCUACUCGUGAUAACAGUGAUAAUCGGAACAGUGCUAAUGACAUCGUUGCUCGCUUGUUACAUUUGUGUGUUUAGACAGCUGUGCUGUUCCACCGAUAUGGAUCUGGACCGCAGCUACAGCCAACGGAGCUCAAAAAGGACUUACACUCUACGUGAUAGCACUAACAUGGCGGAAAUCACCAACAUCACUAGUCAGCAAACGGAAAUUGAAAAGGUCUAGCCUAGGCUGGGCGAAGCUAUCACUUCGCUCUAACAACUCACCUUUCAGGAAAUUGAAACUUUAUUACGGAACAUGCAAAUGUAAUCAAAUGUGAAUUCAUUUGUACCACCCAUGGAUUUGUAAAUAAUUAGACUAGCUGUUUUAUUACGAGAGCUCAUAAAACCAAACGAUUCUAAGAGCAGAAUGAAGCUAUAUUUAUAUGCUAAGUCAACAACAGUGUACAUGUAUGACUAUAAUCUAGUAUAUGAAUAAAGGUGUAUUAAACGGGUGAACAUUUUUUAAAUAAA